rnacentral:rRNA from 1 species
GACGAACGCUGGCGGCGUGCUUAACACAUGCAAGUCGAACGGCAAGGCCCUGCUUUUGUGGGGUGCUCGGGUGGCGAACGGGUGAGUAACACGUGAGUAACCUGCCCUUGACUUUGGGAUAACUUAAGGAAACUGGGGCUAAUCCCGGAUAGGAUAUCGUGCUGCAGGGUGGGGGUUGGAAAGUUGCGGCGGGCGGGGAUGGACUGGCGGCUUAUCAGCUUGUUGGUGGGGUAGUGGCUUACCCAGGCUUUGACGGGUCGCCGGCCUGAGAGCGUGACCGGCCACAUGGGGCCUAAGAUACGGCCCAGACGCCAACGGGAGGCAGCAGGGGGGAAUAUGGCACAAUGGGCGGAAGUCGGAUGCAGCAACGCUGCGGGCGGGAUGACGGUCUUUGGGGUGUAAACCGCUUUCGCCUGUGACGAAGCGGGAGUGACGGUAAUGGGUAAAGAAGCACCGGCUAACUACGUG